AAAUAACUCAAAAUCAAUGCCAAUAGAAACCUUAUUAAGUCUACUCUUAACUUCUAUUCUCUAAUUUGCAAAAAACUAUGGAAUUGCUAUAAGUGCCCUAUUUUGUACCUUGUGGUCUGAUUUUGACCUAGGAUGAUAACCAGUCUUCUUCAGAUUUAAAAUUUUACUCUUUUGAAUUAAAAUUUAUUCAAAUCAAUUCCUAAUUUCUUCUUACAUAUGUACAUAUCAUUUUUUUCUAAUCUACCUUAUUUUGCCUUAUUUAUGGUCUUAUAAAAU
rnacentral:lncRNA from 1 species